rnacentral:rRNA from 1 species
AGUGAACGCUGGCGGUAGGCCUAACACAUGCAAGUCGAACGGCAGCACAGUAAGAGCUUGCUCUUACGGGUGGCGAGUGGCGGACGGGUGAGGAAUACAUCGGAAUCUACUUUUUCGUGGGGGAUAACGUAGGGAAACUUACGCUAAUACCGCAUACGACCUACGGGUGAAAGCAGGGGAUCUUCGGACCUUGCGCGAUUGAAUGAGCCGAUGUCGGAUUAGCUAGUUGGCGGGGUAAAGGCCCACCAAGGCGACGAUCCGUAGCUGGUCUGAGAGGAUGAGCAGCCACACGGGAACUGAGAGACGGUCCGGCCACCUACGGGAGGCAGCAGGGGGGAAUAUUGGAGAAUGCGCGCAAGUCGGAGCGAGCCAUCGCGCGGGAAUGAAGAAGGCAUUCGGGUUGUAAAGCCCUUUUGUGGGGAAAGAAAAGCAGCAGGGGAAUACCCCGCUGUUCUGACGGUACCCAAAGAAUAAGCACCGGCUAACUUCGUG